rnacentral:tRNA from 1 species
GGGCGUAUAGCUCAGCUGGUUAGAGCGCACGCCUGAUAAGCGUGAGGUCGAUGGUUCGAGUCCAUUUAGGCCCA